rnacentral:rRNA from 1 species
AUUGAACGCUGGCGGCAGGCCUAACACAUGCAAGUCGAACGAGUGGCGGACGGGUGAGUAAUGUCUGGGAAACUGCCCGAUGGAGGGGGAUAACUACUGGAAAAGGUAGCUAAUACCGCAUACCAUCGGAUGUGCCCAGAUGGGAUUGGCUAGUAGGUGGGGUAACGGCGUACCUAGGCGACGAUCCCUAGCUGGUCUGCGCGGAUGACCAGCCACACUGGAACUGAGACCCGGUCAAGACUCCUACGGGAGGCAGCAGUGGGGAAUAUGGCACAAUGGGCGCAAGCCUGAUGCAGCCAUGCCGCGUGUAUGAAGAGGGCCUUCGGGUUGGAAAGUACGUUCAGCGAGGAGGCGUUACUCGCAGAAGAAGCACCGGCUAACUCCGUGCAAGCAGCCGCGGUAAUAC